GACGAACGCUGGCGGCGUGCCUAAUACAUGCAAGUAGAACGCUGAAGGAGGAGCUUGCUCUUCUGGAUGAGUUGCGAACGGGUGAGUAACGCGUAGGUAACCUGCCUGGUAGCGGGGGAUAACUAUUGGAAACGAUAGCUAAUACCGCAUAAGAGUAGAUGUUGCAUGACAUUUACUUAAAAGGUGCAAUUGCAUCACUACCAGAUGGACCUGCGUUGUAUUAGCUAGUUGGUGGGGUAACGGCUUACCAAGGCGACGAUACAUAGCCGACCUGAGAGGGGGGUCGGCCACACUGGGACUGAGACACGGCCCAGACUCCUACGGGAGGCAGCAGUAGGGGAUCUUCGGCCAUGGACGGAAGUCUGACCGAGCAACGCCGCGUGAGUGAAGAAGGUUUUCGGAUCGUAAAGCUCUGUUGUAAGGGAAGGACGAGUGUGAGAGUGGAAAGUUCACACUGUGACGGUAUCUUACCAGAAAGGGACGGCUAACUACGUG
rnacentral:rRNA from 1 species